CAGAUUGGCUGUUUGUCACGGCAUGGAGAGCUUCCUUUCAGUCUUCAAAAGCCCAGAGUCAUUAUCUUCUAAUCAUCAUACAUCCUGAAUGAUGGCCUGGUAUGCUAGUCACAGUUUGCUGUGAGCCUCGUAUGCACCUCCAUCCACCUCUCAAUGAUUCCGUGGAUUUCUGGGUCGCUGCUGGGAGAACCCGCCCAUGGUAGUACUUCCCAGGUCAGCAGGAAUGUCAGUGUGUGAAGCUUCACACUAUGGCAACCCAGUUUUCUUUAAGCCUGAUGGAGCAUUUCAUCCCUUCACAAAAGCUGGAUAUAAGAAGCUUUUCAGUUUGUCAUACUAAUAAACAUGACUCUCCUCCCACCUCCUUCGUAUAUGAGAUGGUUAUUCUUCCAGGAGUCAAUCGAGGUUCCUGCUGAAGUGAAGCAGGUGGGUUGAAGAGAUGUGACACCAUGGCUGAGGAAGGAGUGCUUACUGGUGCACCAGACUCAAGGGACUCAAACUGCACCCCUUUACCCCCUCACCCCCAGUUGGGAUCUUCACUUUAUAAUAAAGCUGCUUCUGCACAAAUGUAGACCAAAAAUA